rnacentral:rRNA from 1 species
CUCGUGUCGUGAGAUGUUGGGUUAAGUCCCGCAACGAGCGCAACCCUUGCCAUUAGUUGCUACGAAAGGGCACUCUAAUGGGACUGCCGGUGACAAACCGGAGGAAGUGGGGAUGACGUCAAGUCCUCAUGGCCCUUAUAGGUGGGGCUACACACGUCAUACAAUGGCCGGUACAGAGGGUAGCCAACCCGCAGGGGGAGCCAAUCCCACAAAGCCGGUCGUAGUCCGGAUCGCAGUCUGCAACUCGACUGCGUGAAGUCGGAAUCGCUAGUAAUCGCGGAUCAGCAUGUCGCGGUGAAUACGUUCCCGGGUCUU